AUUGAACGCUGGCGGCAUGCCUUACACAUGCAAGUCGAACGGCAGCACGGGGCAACCUGGUGGCGAGUGGCGAUCGGGUGAGUAAUGCAUCGGAACGUACCUUUCAGUGGGGGAUAACGUAGCGAAAGUUACGCUAAUACCGCAUAUUCUGUGAGCAGGAAGGCAGGGGAUCGCAAGACCUUGCGCUGAUUGAGCGGCCGAUGUCAGAUUAGCUAGUUGGUGAGGUAAAGGCUCACCAAGGCGACGAUCUGUAGCAGGUCUGAGAGGAUGAUCCGCCACACUGGAACUGAGACACGGUCCAGACUCCUACGGGAGGCAGCAGUGGGGAAUUUUGGACAAUGGGGGCAACCCUGAUCCAGCCAUGCCGCGUGAGUGAAGUAGGCCUUCGGGUUGUAAAGCUCUUUCGGCCGGGAAGAAAUCGCACGGGCUAAUACCCUGUGUGGAUGACGGUACCGGAAUAAGAAGCACCGGCUAACUACGUGCCAGCAGCCGCCGCAG
rnacentral:rRNA from 1 species